CCUACGGGAGGCAGCAGUGGGGAAUUUUGGACAAUGGGCGCAAGCCUGAUCCAGCAAUGCCGCGUGAGUGAAGAAGGCCUUCGGGUUGUAAAGCUCUUUUGUCAGGGAAGAAACGGUGGGGGCUAAUAUCCCUUGCUAAUGACGGUACCUGAAGAAUAAGCACCGGCUAACUACGUGCCAGCAGCCGCGGUAAUACGUAGGGUGCAAGCGUUAAUCGGAAUUACUGGGCGUAAAGCGUGCGCAGGCGGUUUUGUAAGUUUGUCGUGAAAUCCCCGGGCUCAACCUGGGAAUGGCGAUGAAGACUGCAAGGCUAGAAUCUGGCAGAGGGGGGUAGAAUUCCACGUGUAGCAGUGAAAUGCGUAGAGAUGUGGAGGAACACCGAUGGCGAAGGCAGCCCCCUGGGUCAAGAUUGACGCUCAUGCACGAAAGCGUGGGGAGCAAACAGGAUUAGAUACCCUGGUAGUCCACGCCCUAAACGAUGUCUACUAGUUGUCGGGUUUUAAUUAACUUGGUAACGCAGCUAACGCGUGAAGUAGACCGCCUGGGGAGUACGGUCGCAAGNUUAAAACUCAAAGNGUAGUGACGNGUGAGAGCGACGACGACGACGACGGAGGAGGAGG
rnacentral:rRNA from 1 species